GCAUAUGGAGGUUCCCAGGCUAGGGGUUUAAUUGGAGUUGCAGCUGCCAGCCUACACCACAGCCACAACAGCAACGCCUGAUCAGAGCCCUGUCUGUGACCUACACCACAGCUCACGGCAAUGCUGGAUCCUUAACCCACUGAGCAAGGCCAGAGAUUGAACCCAGGAAAAAUAGGUCAAAAUCAGGAAAAGGAAAGGACAAAUCAGUCAUAGCAAAAAAUGUCACCUGUGAAGUGGCGUGGGGUGGUGGCAUGUAGGAAGAGAAAUGGAUCUACCAGUCAUGCUGGUGACUGUGUCCUGGGUAAGGGCUUUGUCCCAGAAUUGUGUUCAGCAGCACCCCCUUUGAUUCUCAGAGUUGUCCUUGUGUGGAUGAGAAGCUCUUUGGUCGCCUAGAAGUCACAGGGAAUCUAGAAUAUCACUUACACACUUACGUGAUGGGAGGGGGGAAACUGCAUGCUAUUUGGGCCACAAAGCCCUGAAUUAUUACAGGCAGGUGGACACUUAGUGAAGGAACUUCUAGAACCUUGUUCUCUAAGCCAGGGUGCUCUUCCUCUUAUUUUUACUAAGCCCUCUAUUUUUUUUAAAUUAAAAAAAAUUCUUAUAUAUAAUGAUUUUUAUUUUUUUCCAUUAUAGCCGGUUUACAGUGUUCUGUCAAUUUUCUACUGUACAGCAAGGUGACCCAGUUAUACAUACAUGUAUAGAUUCUUUUUUCACACAUUAUCAUGUGCCAUCAUAAGUGAUCAGACACAAUUCCCAGAGCUACACAGCAGGAUCUCAUUGCUUAUCCAUUCCAAAGGCAAUAGUCUCCAUCUAUGAACCCCAAGCUCCCAGUCCAUCCCACUCUCUCCCUUUCCCCCUUGGCAACCACAAGUCCGUUCUCCAAGUCCAUGAUUUUCUUUCAAGCCCUCUCAUUUUUACUGAAGCCCAUCUGCUGGCUGGUGAAAUGCAAGUGGAGAAAAUAGGAGGAUACAGGGUGAGGCAGGGAGGGGAGAAAAAGCCCAAGAAGUCAUGGGAUCCUCAGUCCAUUUUAUACCAUGAAAUCACACGGGGAAAUGGACUCAGUGACUGUGCUUGUCUGCCACAGCUCUGUUUGUCUUUCUGGAAGGCAGAAGUCCUGCUUUGGGAGUGGACAGCAUUGGUCAGCAGCCUGACUCGGCCUGACUCGGCCUGACUCGGCCUGACUCGGCCUGACUCAGUGGCCCCUCUGCACAGUUCCCUGUUCUGGGGUUCCCAUGAAGUGUCUUCAAGAUACAUGCCAGUUUCUGACCGUUGUAGACAAGACCACCUCAGUGUUUGGUAUUUGUGUUCCACUGGCAGUCAGGAUGUGUAUGUGUGUGUGUCUGGUGGGCGGUGUGGGUGAACCACCCUAAUCCAGGAAAAGCACACAGGCAACCCCCCCAACUCGGGCGGCACCCAGCUGGCCCCCUGUGUUCUAUUUUAAAAGCUCCAACGUAGUCUGAUCUGAGGUCUGUCCAUUUCAUCCCUUCCUUGUUUACUGGAACAUUGGGUCACUGCAGUGCAGCUGGAACACAAUCUCUGGGCGAUUCAGCAAGGCCAAGGCGGGCCGUACAAGGCGUCACAUCAUUGCACUGUUUUUCCUCCCCUCCCACUGAGUUUUCUUGGAAGUUCUGAGCCAGGCUCAGUGUGUAUCUCCAGAAAUGCAUUCCACAUUCCCAGCUGCUUACAACUCAGCAAGUCUCACUGUCCCUCCUUUUAAAAUCCACGUGCCCUGAAGGGUUAGAGAGAAAGAAGCCCACACCAAGGGUUGUCCCAGGCUCCCGGUGUGUUUGCUACUGCUUGCUGCACAGAGUUCCGACAGGGUCCUCCCUUAACAAGCAAAGAGGAAAAUCAUCUCUGUUGCGAUGCCAGUGUGACUCGGCAAAGUUGCAUCUAGCGUGCGCGUCUGUCCUGGCUGAGGGGGGCUGAGAGAGGCUUUGCUGCCCUUUUCCCCCUUGAAUACGAGUUUCUCGUGACUUUCCACCACCCUGAACUCACAAUGAUCCGUCAAGGACCUUCUCCUAUUUCCCUCCCAGCACCAUCCUAAUUUCCUCCCUUCAGUGGCUUCUCUCCUCUUCAUGAUCACUUUAUCCCUUCCUGGACCAGAGGAAAUAAUGAGAGACAGGUGAGAAACAGCCAAACACAUCAAAAAUCCUAUUUGUCUCAUUGAGGGUGAAAAUGGUGCCUCUGUCUUUUACAUUUAUACUUGCUGUUGAAUUAGCCAUUGAUUCCUUAGGAUGGAGCGCCAGCCUCACUUGGGAUCUUGUUGAAGUGCAUGGUCUCAAGCCCUAGCCCAGACCUUUUGACUCAAAGCCUCUUGGGCUGUACAGGCCAGCAGUCUGAGUUUUCACAAGCCCUCCGGGUGACUCUGAUGUGUGCAAGUUUGCGAAUCCUUAGGGUAGAGGGUUCUCCGUGGAGAUGGGGGGAGGGGAGGCUUGCGGUUUCCCUCUGCGCUCAGAUGUUAGAAUCAGUGGCGGGGAACAGAGCCUGUGCCGUGCUCCUUAGGGCUGGCUCAGGCCCCUUGCCUUUCAAGCUGGGGCAGGUGUAAGAGUGAAGGUGAGGAGAAGGACUGAGAAGCCAUGGUGACCCUAUCGGAUGCCCUCCGUGAGCUGGCUCUAUGCACCACCCUUUGGAUGGGAAUCUAGAGCUUCCUGAUCAUCUCUCAGACCAAGUCAUGUAAUGGUUUAGAGUCCAUCACUCUACUUCUCAUCUGCUCUCAGGUCACUAAGCCAAUCACUAGAUACAGAUGGAAAUUGUAGAGUUUAUUCCUUUUAUUUUUUAUUAGACUAAAUUGAACAAACAACCAGAAAUGUGCUCUUCAUCUUGUCAAUGCUUUCCUUUCUAUACUCUGAAGAGCCCCCAAGAUUAUUAAGAGGUAUUGAGAUCUAUGAGGCUAGACACGUGAUAUCCAAUUUGCAUUUCCCAGCCAUAUGUGGCUACCAAACAAUUGAUAUGUGGGUAAUCUGAGCCGAGACAUGCUCAGAGUAUCCAUACACAGCAUAUUGCAAAGGUAUAGUCCAAAAAAAGGAUAAUUAUUUCAUUAAUACUUUUAAUAUUGGUUUCAUGUUGAAAGUAUAACACUUAGACUGUAUUGGGUGACAUAAACUGUAUUAACAUUAUUAUUAUUAUUAUUAUUAUUUUUCCAUGCUCAUGGCAUGUGGAAGUUCUCAGACCAAGGAUCAAAACUGUGUCACAGCAGUGACCCUAGCUGCUGCAGUGACAAUGCCAGAUCCUUAACCUUCCGCACCACAAAAGAACUCCAACAUUAAUUUCAUCUAUUUAUUUUCACCUUUUAAAUUGUGGCAUUGGAAAAAUUAAAAAUUACCAAUAUAGCUCAUAUUUGUGACUCACAUUUUACUUCCGUGGGAAAGCGCUGGUCUGGUUAGUCAGAGACUCUAGUCAAACGCAGGAUUUUGAAUAACACAGUGGAUAGGCCAGGAGCAAAUACAAGGGAGCAGGUGUGAACUAUAGCAUGUAGAGCAUGUUGAGGUAAAGCAGUGUAGCCUAAAGCAUGAUAGCGGAUCCCCUGAACUUUGGAGCUAGACACACUAGGGUUGAAUCUAGACUCUGCCACUUACUAGGACAAGGACAAGUAACUUAAGCUCUUUGAAUUUCAGUUUUCGCCUCUGUAAAAUGAUGGUCUUGGUCCCUAAAGAGGUUUUGUGAGAAUUAGUUAAGACAAUGAACAUAAAAGGCUGAAUACUAGUCCCAGCCAUUAAUAAGUACUCAAUAAAUUUAUUUAUAUUUUUACUCAAUAAGCAUGAAUUCUUGUUAAAUAAGAAGGAAUUCUAUUACUAGAUUGUAUUAGAUACUGAUUAUGGAACCUUUGUUUUGGAGGAUCCUUAGCAUUUAGAUGGAGCUCCUCUAUCUGGAAUGGUUUGUGUAUCAUCCUACCCAAAAUAUCAGGUGAAUGUCUUAAUUUUUCAGUGCCUCCUCCGCUGAAAAUCUACAGCCAGGCAUGGACCCCUCCCCACCACCUCCUACUAUGGUACUUAAAGACCUCACCAUGAAAAACUGGAUUGCAUAAAGGACUGCUCCUGGACAGAGACCCCUGGCUUGUUAUAUUUGCACAACUGGACAGUUUUCAUGGCAUAGAUUGGAUGGACUCUGUCAGUGACAGGAGGCAAUGUCCCUCCUGAAGGAGGGGAAGGGAGUCUCUUCACUAGCAAAUACUCCAGGUGAGCAAAGUGAGGGUUGGGUGGAUAAUGGGAAGGCAACACUAUGCUCCUGGCUUUAAGAUUUAUGGAUGGGCCCUGAAAGAAGUGUUUUAGCCUUUCUGUCCGUAAGAGAACAGAACAUCUAGUUUAGAUUUCCCCAAAGAGAAGGCAGAUCUCUCACAAGUUUACAUGGAGGCAGGGAUGAGAUAAAAGGGUGACAAUGAGGUGAAAAAGAGUGGAAAAAACAAACAAACUGAAAAAGGUGCUGCCCAGCUCUACAUUGAAAGACCCUAAGAGUGUCCAGGCCUAAUAGCAUAUCUCUUAAGGGUAUAGUCUCUGGGAUCCCAGCAGACUGACACUGUGAUAAAACUCUGUCACAAUUUCUCAGCCAUUGGGGAAAAAAAAAAAGAUCCUGUGAUUCCAACCAUGGAACUGCUACUCAAAACAACUGCAAGAAAGAGGAAGUAGAGACCACGCGAGGUAUUUCCGUGUAAGACUGUUCCACCUUGAGAAAAGAAGCAAAAUGUGGAAAUGGGUCCUUGGCUGGAGAAUGGAUUAAAGAGUCUUUGGUCUCUUUCUGAAUUGUGCUACUUAAUUUAUCAUCACCACCAUCAUCAUCAUCUUUGUUGUCAUCAUCUCCAUCAACCGUGCUUCCUACAUGCCAGAAGUGUUGUGUUCCCUGGUUGAUCUCAUUUAAUUCUUCUGACAGCAAUAUGAGGUAAGCACUCUUAUUAUGCCGUCUUUAUGAAUGAGGAAACCGAAGCUUAGGAACAUUAAGUGAGUUGCUCAAGGUUCAACACACCCCUGUUGCAGACUGGCUGGAACUUCCAUACUUAAUACACAGAAAGGCAAACUGAAAGUGCCGUAUUACAAAUCACCAAGGGAAUCCUUACAUCAGAAGUGCUCAGCCUAUAUCCAACCUAAAAUCUCUUUUAUAAGAAAUGUUUUAUGUCAACAUAUUUACUAUCCUGAAAUGAAAUUCACAGAUUAUAUAACCAACCCAACUCAACACACUAUAUUUGAAAACCGAUAUUUAGUUAAUUGUAAAGAGACGUGACAUGAAGGUGUAUUGUAACAACGUAGUAUAUAUUAUAAUAUCUAAACAUUCAAGCACAGUGAGAUGCUUAUUUCUAUAUAUAGAAUCACCAUGGAAACCACAGCCACAAAUCCUGACAGCUCAAAUAUCACAAGUAGUGCUGAUAAUUGAUG
rnacentral:lncRNA from 1 species